rnacentral:rRNA from 1 species
AGAGUUUGAUUCUGGCUCAGAACGAACGCUGGCGGCAGGCUUAACACAUGCAAGUCGAGCGCCCCGCAAGGGGAGCGGCAGACGGGUGAGUAACGCGUGGGAAUCUACCUUUUGCUACGGAAUAACUCAGGGAAACUUGUGCUAAUACCGUAUGUGCCCUUCGGGGGAAAGAUUUAUCGGCAAAGGAUGAGCCCGCGUUGGAUUAGCUAGUUGGUGGGGUAAAGGCCUACCAAGGCGACGAUCCAUAGCUGGUCUGAGAGGAUGAUCAGCCACACUGGGACUGAGACACGGCCCAGACUCCUACGGGAGGCAGCAGUGGGGAAUAUUGGACAAUGGGCGCAAGCCUGAUCCAGCCAUGCCGCGUGAGUGAUGACGGUCUUAGGAUUGUAAAGCUCUUUCACCGGUGAAGAUAAUGACGGUAACCGGAGAAGAAGCCCCGGCUAACUUCGUGCCAGCAGCCGCGGUAA